rnacentral:rRNA from 1 species
AAAAACAGAAAAAUAGCCCUGAACAAGCCCGAUCCUGUCUGAUCUUGGAGGCUAAGCAGGGUUGGGCCUGGUCAGUACUUAGUACUUGGAUGGGAGACCACCUAGGAAGACCUGGUGCUGUAGGCG